GUGAAAUUAAUUUGAAAAAAAAUAGAUUAAUUAACUUAUCCGGUAAGAUCUUUACCUAGUUUUAGCCCUUAAAAUCUAAUCAAGAUCAACCCAAAGACCUUUAUUAACCGAGCCCAAUCAAAUAUACCCCAAACCCGGCCCAAAUAUCCUAUUAGCCUAAUGAGCCCAAGGGCCGCUCUUCUCUUUCUCUCCAACAUUGAACAUCAACCAACAACCCAACCAGACUAGCCAAACACACUCUUCCAUGUCUGCAAUCCGUUCAACCCUCAAAACCAUCGGACAAAUAGAAAAACCCAUUAAUUUGAUAUCUCUUUUCGUCUGCUCUCUCUGUUUUUGGUCUCAAUCAAUAUCACCUGUCCUCCCAUCACCCUUUGUUAAAGCAAAUGCUUUGUAAUUUCAUCAAAAGAUGGAAAAAUUCAAAGACCCAUCAGUUUCAAGGUAUUUUUUCUUUGAUUCGACGGCUGCCCAGCAUAAACCGAUAGGUCCAAAGGGCUUUCCCAAGAAUUCAAAUUUUGAGUUCUUGGGAACCUGAGAACCGUUGCAAUCUCCUCAAAUUUGGCUAUAAAAUGAGUCAUUGGGCUCCUAUAUUUAUCAGCAAGAUAGGAAUCAUCAACAAUUAUCACUAGUUAGUUGCUAAAUAUCAAGAAACUCAUAAUUUUCCUUAUUAUUUUCCUCGCUCCCUUUCCGAGUCCAAAGUCUGAGUUCUAAUCUCCGACGAGGAAAAACUAAUUCGCUGCUCCACAAAAGGAGUGUGCUUGGAGUUUCAUGGCUCGACUCCAUUUCUGUCCAAAGCAGAGAAGCGACCAAAUAUCUCAUUAUACAUUUCCGUCUAGCAGUCUAGUGUCUCUUUCUCUCUUUUCAAUAUUUAUUCUUCUUUUAUACACACUCAUUAUUUUUUUCGUUUAAUAUUUUGCAUAUUAUUAUUUAAAAUUUUAUAUUUUGUAUGUCUUAUUUGAAUUAAUGUGAAUCUUUAAAUGUGAUAGCAUCUUAAUUACUCACUUCUCAGCUCUUAGGUUUUAAAUUUAGCAUUAAUCGCUAGACUUAGGUAUUUAAUUUAAUGUCCUUUCAAGUUUUAAAAUUCGGUAGUUAAGGCAUGCCUUUUUAGAAUAAUUGACCGAGUUGUUAGAAUCCUUUAAUGCUUCUUUAACAUAAAAUAGUAGCCUAUCCAUAGAACCAAGUUAGUUUUCACUAAUUAAUAGUAUCGAAAUAGUUAAAAGAUGUAAUUUUUGUGGUAGAUGGGCUUAUUGUCGUUGAACUCGGAAAUCGGCCUUAAUAAUUUUAGAUAUAGUAAAUCAACUUUAUUUUUCAUCAAUUUCAAAUAAAAGAUGACAAUUUGCCAAACCGACUUCGCAAGGCCCCUUUUUAGGAUUUCAAAUGACAAGAAAAAAUAUUUUAUUUUUUUAUUUAUUUUAAUCGUAUUGUGAUAAAUAAUAAUUUUUCAAGUUGUUGUACAUUUAAAUAACUAUAAAUUUUUUUUAGCUAUCCUGGAUAAUUUUUAAAAAGUUGAUUUUAUGAGGAGGUUCAUUUAAAGUUUUUUUUCUGAUCUUUUCUUAUAAAUAAUUAGUUUGUUUAUUUAAUAAGAUGUAUAUUUUUGUAAUGCCUUAUGUCUUUCUUAAUAACAUUUGAUUUUCAUAUCUAACCUAAGUUUGGCCGGUUAACCGUAGUCAGCGGAUCUUUUAGGGUGUCUAAUCCCUUCCCUUUAGGAUAAUUAGAACUCUUACCUAGAAUCGUAGGAUAAGCAGACCUUAAAAUGAAGUCUUUAUUUCUUUUAAUCACAUAGUUUAUAAUAGGUGUCCUAAUUCAUCGUAGAACUAAUUUGGUGUCGACUUCCUUAAAUUUAAUUAGGAGUUUUCCAAUAUGUUGUACACUAUUUUGGCCUCGUGUUAAAAUGGGGUAUAACAGUACCUCUAUUUUUGUUUAUGUCGUGUGUCGAUGGAAAAGUCGCGCCGCAUUAGUGAUUUUAUUUCGUUAUUGAAAGUAUGGAAACUUUAUAGUAUUUUUUUCUAUUUUGAAUUACUUCAUUUUACUAUGAUGAUAACUAUUGUUGAUUAUAUUUUUAUAGGUAUGGGCAUGGGAGCAUAUAAUCCCAUUACAACCACUUUCGCUGCCUCAGUGCGAGAAAAAUCCAGAGGUUCCGACCGCAUAUGCACGUAAAUGGUCUCGAGGUAGAACUCAUCAAAAUGAGGCUCGUAGUGUGCUAUUCAUAAUAAGAGAUGUAUUCGACAACCUUACUGAGAAGCAGCUAAUUUCCUUGACGAGAGGCUGAGGAAAAUUCAACACAUAUUGCUCAAGUUGGAUACCAAUCAAUUGCACACAAACAUGAAACAUUGGUUAGAGGACAUAUAAGGUCAUAUCAAAUUGCUCAAAGUCUUGUGAAUAAUCAAUCAGAAGAGGUGAAGCAAAUCGUAACGCAAUUUGCAUCGAUUUUCCUAGAGUCAAUGACUGUUGUUGCUUUAGGAAUACGUUUGACUUUUCAUUAAGAUUACACACCGCCAAAUGAAUAUGAACAGCUGCCACCAGUUCAAGCUCGUCAACGAUCAGCUGCACCAAGAGAGAGAGUCUGUCGAGGUGGUGAGAGGGAUGGACGACAACGGAACGAAGUUCAUGUUGAACAUAACUUAGUUGAUAAAGAAAAUUCGAGUGAUCAUGGGGUACAAUAUGAAAGUAAUUUCAAUCUAUCACUAGCUACAACUAAUGUUGAGCCAUAUUACCCCACAUAUGACUAUGUUGGAGCCUCGACUAGUGGGAUAAAUUAUUCUCAUGAACAAAGUUCUGAUUUUGUAACUUCACUUGUUGGAAUAAGUGGCUUAAGCCAAUUUAACG